UGUUAUCGCGUGCAUAAAUCCCGGAAAAGUGGGGAGCAGGCGGCUUGCGGUACAAACAGCAAAGAUUGAUAAAUUUAUUGACAUAUUUACGAAAGCGAACACACUUGCCAAGUUAAACUAUACCCCUGAAUCGCUUACCUCAAUAAGAAUCCAGUACGUAAUGUGACGAUGUACGAAAAGCUGUCGUUCUUGCCGGAGCCAACACCAGAUGCAAGUGGGGAACAUUAUUUGCCAUUUAAGGAGGUGUACGGAAAACCUUUGACUGUUAAUAAUUCCGUCCCUCGGCUAGAAGCACGGACUUCGAUGAUGAAGCUGUUGAACAGGACAAGAAGAAUAGAGAAAUUCUAAAGGCUCCUAAGGCUCGUGAUGUGGUCAGGUGUGCCGAAUGCCGUAAACCCAGGGUUGUGUACAGUCCAAGUAAAACAGACAGAGAACAGCCACACGCCGUGAGGACAAAGGGUUAUCUGGUCAGCCUGUUGUCUGGUUUGUCUGACCAGGCCUCUCUUGUGGUCUUCCUGCAGGAGAUAAAGGCCCUGGGCUUGAUACACCACAGUCUAUUGGCUGACCACAUGCAGGAGAUCAGUCGCCUGUCCCAGAGUGGAUCUAGCCGUGUGCGAAUCCUUGUCCA